GCAAGACAUCAAGACAAAGUGAACCUUUUUGGAAAUCUUGACCCGAUUCCUACCAAAGAAUACAACGAGAUUUUUGAGAAGACAAACUUGGACGUGGAUAGUCGAACCCAGAACUCAAGCAGAAGAAGAGAAGAGUUUGGAUUAGCCAUGGCAGACUAUGUUGCUUUCAGUAACGAGAUUCCAGGGUUUAACGAGCUUUCUGUCAGAGACAAGGCUACGUUAGUAAAAGUAUCUCGACUAGACUUUUUCCUUAGCCUUGAGUACCGAGCUAAGGAUCCUGAGACUGAGAUGAUGAUCUCAUACUCAGGUCGAGCUGCACAUCUCUCUGACGCCUGCGCAUACCUCCCUCAGGAUAUGUUGAGAUCUUGGUGGAAACUGACGUACGAUCUGAGAGGACUACAGAUGACAACGGAGGAGCACGCCACACUACUGGCGCUUUGUCUGAUGUCAACAGAUCGUUGUAAACUUGAGUCCCCAGAAUCUGUACAGAAAAUAGAGGCUACACUUGUUAAAACCAUGAUGUCCCUACUCCAGAGGCGGUACGGGGAGAGGGCAGGGCUACAGUUCUCCUCCUACAUCAGCUUACUGACCAAGCUCCGGGGAAUGAGUGAGGAGUACCAUGCUGUGUAUCGCAAAAUCUGUGAGGACAAGGUCCUCAUUGCGAGGGCACCAGAACUACUGUCUAUGCUCUUUGAUGAGUGAAUGAAGAGUGAACAUCUUUUUGAGGUUACCAGAACUUGAGUGAUCCUCAUUGUUACUAGAACUUGUAUUAGUAAGGAUUGAAACCUCGAUGUUAGGGCACCAGGCCGGACCACCACCAAAAUUUUCAAAUCACUCAACUCAGUCCUCAACUCAAAUCCUUAAAAGAAAAGUGCAUUAACUUGAGGUAAAAACUCAGACUUGAGGCUGAGUAUUGACUUGAGGAAAGUUGGUGAUGGCAGGGCCAGAGCUUCUUUCACUGAGGAGUGAACCUCAUUGUGAGGGCACAACAACUUCUAUCAUCACAAAGGAAUAAAAUCAUUGUUGAAAAUGGGAACUCUUAUCUGUACUAAUUAAUUGUUAAUGAAUACAUAGUAUUCACUUCCUCAAAAAAGCCAUUGUUUUGUAAUUCCCACAUCUGAGUAAAUAAGCUGUCUUUUUGUUGAUAAAAGUUUGCAAUGAUGCCUUUGAUAAUGAAAAAAAGUGUCUUUUUUAGGUGAGCCAUACCGUUGUGUGUUUUGCAAUUUUACAAAUUAUAUGAUUGUUUGACUGCCAAAGAUUAGCCUUCUGUGAUAAAUUUUAAGGAUCACUAAAACAUUGUUAUAAAUGUAGACUUAUUUUUGAUUGCCCUGAUGAAGGUGCCAUAUUGAACCUCUGAUUCCGUCACUUUAUAUAAAAUCAGAAAUGGAUGUCCAUGUACAUGCAUUUAUGUUUUGCAGAAGCAAGGCAUAGUUUUCUUGUUUUUGUGAUAUUGAUGAAGUAUUUGACUUUGCACUUUAGCCUUAAUUAGUUCUUGUCACUACCAAAUAAAGAAUAGUUUGCGUGCAAUUGAUAUGGAAACACUUUAGACUGUUUACAGAUUUAAGAAGAUUAUACAAUAUAUAUGUU
rnacentral:misc_RNA from 1 species